UAAUAUAUUUAUAUAUUAUAUACAAACGAAUUAUCUAGUUUGUAUAGAUAUUCUAUUGCUGCGAUCAACUAUUAUAUAUAUAUAUUAAAUGUAUGUAUUUUUCAUAUUCGUAGCUAUUAUUGAACAGAAAAAUCGGACACUUAUUAUUAUUACCGAUCGCUUUUUUUUUUUUUUUUUUUUUUUUUUUUUUUUAAUACUAAUUACUAAUAAAGUGUCUCCCUGUGUCUUUAUACACUUCGGGAAAAAAUAACGUGUGGUCUCAUUUUGUACUUUAAUAAGUGGUAGAUAGUAGAAUCAUUGGUGUUUCAUUUUAAGAACUCUAGAAAUGACCGUUCGGUUGCUCGAGCUUCCCGAGACGAGAGGAAGCUUUAAUGCACCGGUUGCAUGCUGGUCCAGAACAUCUUUGUAUUAUCAAUCCCUUGCAAUUUUUUCUUCGACAUCUACAAUAUAUUUUUUUAAAUAUCUGCAUAUCUUCAAUUAAUUUAAUGAGUACAUUAACGUGAAGUGGACGGCAUUGGAUUAAACUGAUUCGACAUGUUGCAGCAAUAACACGGAGCCAAAAUAUUUGUGUUUCUAAAUUGAAAACAUACAGUUUGAAAUUAUAAAAAUAUAUGAUUUUUUA